rfam:Sarcophilus harrisii ctg7180001502679, whole genome shotgun sequence.
UUGUUUCUUGCUUCAACAGUGUUUGUACAAAACAG